GAUGAACGCUGCCAGAAUGCUUAACACAUGCAAGUCAACUUGAAUUUGGGUUUUUAACUUAGGUUUGGGUGGCGGACGGGUGAGUAACGCGUAAAGAACUUGCCUCACAGCUAGGGACAACAUUUGGAAACGAAUGCUAAUACCUAAUAUUAUGAUAAUAGGGCAUCCUAUAAUUAUGAAAGCUAUAAGCGCUGUGAGAGAGCUUUGCGUCCCAUUAGCUAGUUGGAGAGGUAACGGCUCACCAAGGCGAUGAUGGGUAGCCGGCCUGAGAGGGUGAUCGGCCACAAGGGGACUGAGACACGGCCCUUACUCCUACGGGAGGCAGCAGUGGGGAAUAUUGGACAAUGGACCAAGAGUCUGAUCCAGCAAUUCUGUGUGCACGAUGAAGUUUUUCGGAAUGUAAAGUGCUUUCAGUUGGGAAGAAAGAAAUGACGGUACCAACAGAAGAAGUGACGGCUAAAUACGUG
rnacentral:rRNA from 1 species